AUCGAAGCAUGGGGGAGUCUGGUGGAUUGUCCUUCUGAGCAAGAGUUCGAUGAUUGCCUUAUUCAUAUUAGAAAAAAAGGCAUGUUUACCAAAGAUAAAAGGAAGAAUAAGUGCUCUAAGUUUGCAAGCAAAAACUACUACAAGAUGAUUAGGAUUUUGGGUUUAGAGAUUUUGGGUUAUGUUUUAGGAUUUAUGAUUUAUGGUUUAGGGUUU
rnacentral:lncRNA from 1 species